rnacentral:lncRNA from 1 species
GCAUUCACCAGAAGCUGAGUGUUGUGGGGUAUGGUGUAGCCACAUAUUUCGACAUCAUUUUUGGCUUUGUAAGGUAGGAGAAGAGGAACGGCAGGAUGAAGGCGCAUUGUCUCUUUGACCACAGCUUCAAGAUAUGGGAGUUUAUCGAGGUCUGAUUCUUGAACAGUUCUUUUAGUUCCAAUGACUUCCAUUAGUUCCCUUCUUGUUUUUUGUAGCACUCCAGGUUUUCUAAGGAGUUCUGCCAUCGCCCAUUCUGUUGUUAUUGCAGAUGUAUCACUUCCAGCAAUGAAUAAGUCCUGUUUAAUAUUUAAUUUUAAAAUUAAAUUUGUGAACUGAGAAAACGUAAAAUUGAAUGACAUCUGAACACUUAACAUAUAUACAUAUACAAUAUAACAAUAUAACCAAUAAAUAAUGAAAUAUAUUGUUUAAAACUAAUUAAUAAUAAUAUAUAAAAUUUGUAUGAUAUUAAAAUAAAAAUAUCGAAUAUUAAUAAUUUUAACAUUAAAAUAAAUUAAUUUAACAAUAUAUAUAAAAUAAAUAUCAUGUAAGAAAUUAAUAAUAAUAUUAUUAUUUAAAUUAUAUUAAUAUUCAUGAUGAAUUUUUAUAUUACUUUACUAUUAAAUAUCAUUAAUAUAAAUGAUUUUAAAUUAGUAAGAUUUUUAAAAAAUAUUUUAUAAUUACAUUACAUUUUCAAUUUAUUAAUGAUUUUUUGAAUAAAUUCACUAAUUUUUUUAACAAAAACUAAUAUUAUAAAAAAAUAUUAUAAAUAUAGGGGAGGGCAUUUUCGGGCGCUGACCUUUCUAAAAUGAUAAAUUUAGAUUUUAAUUUCUCUAAAAAUAAUAAAAAAUAUUUUAAUUAUUUUAAAAUUAUAAAUAUAUAAAUUAAUAAAAAUAUACAAUUUAAUUUUCUCAAUUUUCCUGGACACUUCAUCUCAGAGUAAGGUGUGUCGCUGAAAUCCUAAGAAAGAGUAAGGCUUUCGCUAACUCUUUAAUAUAAAAACAAGCUAUCUGCCUAGUAUAGAAUCUCAGAUUUGGACAGUUGUCCUACUUAAAUCCCAAAAAUGGACAUCUUGGAACAAUAAUGGUUCAAAUUCUUACUGAAUUAGUUGAGUUGGUUGGACUUUUCUUUUAAUGAUGGGUUGAAUUAAUAUUUAAAUUGAGUUAAAAGAUAUUUAUAAACAACAGAAAGUAACCCUUACUUGCUUAUUUUAUUUUUUAAUAUAAUUAAAGUAUUUUUUAUGUUUAAUUUAUUAUAUAAAAAUUUUAAAAUUUUUACUAAAAAUGCAAUGAGUUUUACUUUCACAUUUGCUAAUUUAUUUUAUUAUAGGUUAGGGAGUUGCUGGUAAUUCAUCAACAAAUAUCAAUAAUUCAGUAGUAGGCUACCAGAUCCACUUUUUAUAUUUAAAAAUGUCAACUAAAAUUUUAUCUUAUUAUAUCUUAUAAUAAUAAUUUAAACGAGAGGAAGUAACAAUGUCGACAUCUUUCAUACCCCAGUUUCUAAAAGCAUUUUUCUUGUGUCUGAAGGAAUGAAAUUAUUUUCUUAUUAUUUAUGAAAAUGAAAUAAGCGAAAAUCUUACCAGGAUCAAAGGCUUGAUAUUUUGGCGAGUGAAGUCAGACCCAUCCUGUUGGCACUGAUCAAGCAGAACAUCCAACAAAUCACCAUUUCUGGACACGGAAUCUGAAGCUCUAACCUCCAUUCUUUCAUCUAUCAUCUCAUCAAAUAUCUCA